UCUCAGUUCGGAUUGUAGGCUGCAACUCGCCUACAUGAAGUCGGAAUCGCUAGUAAUCGCGGAUCAGCACGCCGCGGUGAAUACGUUCCCGGGCCUUGUACACACCGCCCGUCACACCACGGGAGUUGGGAGUACCCGAAGUAGGUUGCCUAACCGCAAGGAGGGCGCUUCCUAAGGUAAGACCGAUGACUGGGGUGAAGUCGUAACAAGGUAGCCGUAUCGGAAGGUGCGGCUGGAUCACCUCCUUUUUAAGGAA
rnacentral:rRNA from 1 species